UGAGGAAUAUUGGGUCAAUGGGCGAGAGCCUGAACCAGCCAAGUAGCGUGCGGGAUGAAGGCCCUAUGGGUUGUAAACCGCUUUUACAGGGGGAUAAAGUGAGCGUCGUGACGUUCAUUGCAGGUACCCUGCGAAUAAGGACCGGCUAACUCCGUGCCAGCAGCCGCGGUAAUACGGAGGAUGCGAGCGUUAUCCGGAUUUAUUGGGUUUAAAGGGUGCGCAGGCGGCGUGCCAAGUCAGCGGUCAAAGUUCCGGGCUCAACCCGGUGAUGCCGUUGAAACUGGUGUGCUUGAGUGCGUGCGAGGGAGGCGGAAUGCGUUGUGUAGCGGUGAAAUGCAUAGAUAUGACGCAGAACUCCGAUUGCGAAGGCAGCUUUCCAGCACGCCACUGACGCUGAGGCACGAAAGCGUGGGGAUCGAACAGGAUUAGAUACCCUGGUAGU
rnacentral:rRNA from 1 species